CAAGGAUAACCCAGCACUGCGUGGACGUGGUGCAGGAGAUGCAGAUCUGACCCCAGCACUGCAUGGACAGCAUUGCAGGAGAUGCAGAUCUGAGCUGUGAUGCAC
rnacentral:lncRNA from 1 species